AUUGAACGCUGGCGGCAGGCCUAACACAUGCAAGUCGAACGAGUGGCGGACGGGUGAGUAAUGUCUUGGACACUGCCCGAUGGAGGGGGAUAACUACUGGAAACGGUAGCUAAUACCGCAUAUCAUCGUAUGUGCCCAGAUGGGCUUAGCUAGUAGGGGGGGUAACGGCUCACCUAGGCGACGAUCCCUAGCUGUUCUGAGAGGGUGACCAGCCACACUGGAACGGAGCCACGGUCCAGACUCCUACGGUGGGAAUCAGUGGGGAAUAUUGCACAAUGGGCGCAAGCCUGAUGCAGCCAUGCCGCGUGUAUGAAGAAGGCCUUCGGGUUGUAAAGUACUUUCAGCGAGGAGGCGUUACUCGAAGAAGAAGCACCGGCUAACUCCGUGCCAGCAGCCGCGGUAAUAC
rnacentral:rRNA from 1 species